rnacentral:rRNA from 1 species
AACGAACGCUGGCGGCGUGCCUAACACAUGCAAGUCGAGCGCGAAAGUCCCUUCGGGGGCAAGUAGAGCGGCGGACGGGUGAGUAAUACGUGGGAAUCUGCCCUCAGGAGGGGGAUAACGGUUGGAAACGGCCGCUAAUACCCCAUAUGCCGCGAGGUGAAAUGAAUUUCGCCUGAGGAUGAGCCCGCGUCUGAUUAGCUAGUUGGUGGGGUAAAGGCCUACCAAGGCGACGAUCAGUAGCUGGUCUGAGAGGAUGAUCAGCCACACUGGGACUGAGACACGGCCCAGACACCUACGGGUGGCAG